ensembl:lncRNA
CACAGAGUCAGCCUGCGUCUCCAAUAACAGCGCUGCAUGGCUCCAGAGUAACUUGGGUCCAUUCUCUGUUCUGGCAAACAUGUCUCUUCUGCUCCAGCUCAAUGGCCUCUUCAAGCCGUUGGAGGCUCUGGAGGUCCUCUCUCCUGGUCAGAUGGCUGAGCUCAUGGUCGCCCCUCUGCCCGGCCUCUCUGACAAGGAGGACGUCAUCGACGGAGUGUUUGACUACCUGGCGCCAUCCCCGCUGGACAGGAGACUUCCGGAGGUCCUGCAGAGCGUUGUCAUGCUUUCUGCGCAACCGGGAAUCAUCCCUUGCUCCUCCUACAAAGUCUUGUUCAACAGGAUGGAUCGGCUCAUCCCCGUGGUGACUGUGGCACUGGAGACCGUCAUCACCUCUGCCAAGACAGCCCUCCUCACCCGAGUCCCACCAGGCUGCACCAUCUACAGUGGAGAGUGUAAUGUCACUCCGAUUAAUGAGACUGAGAUCUGCCUCAACAUCAACAGCACUGCUUUACAGCAUCACCUGGACAACCGACAAGCAUCCGGCUCUCUGUGCAACUUCAGCGUCUCACAGUAUGCAUGUGCAGAGUUGUCCACUUUGACAGCUGAAGACCUGGUGACGUUGUUUACGUGUAAAAUGAAUGAGGAUCAUCCCAAAGAGACCUGGAAGCUCCUCAUCACCAAAGUCAAUCCCAUCCUGGGUCAUGCCCUCGACCUCUUCAACGGCACGAUGCUCACUGCCAGUCCCGCUGUCUCGCACGUCCUGGACGUGAUCAGUGAGGUCUCCUUCAGCACCUUCAGCACUGAGCACGUGCGGGACGUGGCCUACGUGAACCGCUGGUUCCAGACGCGCCUGAGGCCCUUCCUGCCCUUCGUCACCCCGGCCUUCCUCUCCUGCCUGGCCACCAAGAACUUCACCUGCCAGACCUACCAGGACGUUGUGCAGACCUUGGGACAUCGCUAUGGAGAAAUGGCAGAUUCCGCCCAGAUACAGGUCUACACUGACUUCAUCGAGGUCUUCCUCUCCAAGAAGCCCGUCGCAGGCUGUACCGCUGGCAUUGCGAACAGUGCUGUUUGGCUGGAGAAGAACUUUGGGCCGUUCUCAGCUGCCGCCUCAGUCCUGGACAUGCAGAGACUGCAAGGCAGCUUUUCUCUGAUGGAGGCCCUGCCCAGACUCAUUCUGAGGCAGCUGGUGGAGGCCUCCGUCACCCCAGGCCUGCUCACGAGCCCCGCAGACGUCACCACCCUGCUGCAGCGCGUCCCCGACCCCCUCCUGGCCUCCUACUUCGACAUGCUGGCUCCCGCCGCGCAGGGGAUAUCAAUCGCUGCACCGCUCCGCUCAGCGAUGCUUCAGCAGGUGUUUGAGCGUGCCAACCUGUCCACGGCGUCUGUGCCUGACAGCGAGGCGCUGGUGUGGCUGAACGACCGCAUGGCGUUCCUGCUGCCCAACCUCUCGCCCGACCACGUGGGGCCCUACUUCAACAUCAUCAGACUGCGACAGUGCAACACCAGCCAGCAGGCAGUGGCCUUGCUCAACACUACCCUGCCCACACUUGAUGAUGACACUCAAGCCCAGGUGUACAGCAACAUCAUCAGAGUACUAACAGAACCCUCACCUCUGCGCUGCUACGGCAGUGGAAGCUUCUACUCCUUCCUGGAGACGUCCUUCAUGGGCUUCGGGUUCCCCAACCUCACCACCUUCCUCUCCCUCAUACCAGCCAGCCGCAAGGCCGAGGUGAUGAACUCCAUCCCACCCGCUCAAGUGGGCAGCUUCCUCCGAAGGCCUGGCACAGUAGAUGACAUGACCAAACUCUGCCAGAUCUUUGACGACUACACCCAGACGCCGCAGUUCUUGGAAACGGAGUCGGUUCCAGAGGCGAUCCAGCCACACAUCCUUCCCUGCGUGUGGCCCCGGGCCCUCGCCGCCGGCUCCCCGGCCGAGGCGGACCUCUGGUUCGACGCCGCCCUGAGCCGCUACCUCCGCUACCUCAACAAAGACCUCGUCAGCUACGCUGUCCUCCGGGACGCACGCUGUCUGGCCUUCAGGAAGUUUGUUGCCGCGACAGAAAACCAUAACUACACCUCCUCCGACUUCACCCAACAGGACGUGUACUCAACUAUACACAGCUACCUCUCCAUAGCCCCCACUCCGAGAUGCUACAACGCAUCUCUUCCCCAGCUGGCAUCCACCGCCUGGUUCGCGAA